UAACAGCUGACGGUCGUUUCCGUAAAGAAAGAAAGAAAUUGACGAAUCUGGAAAUUGAUCUCAGAGGGUUUCCCCCGUGAACAGCUGAAGCCCGAAAAAUAGCCGUUGACGGCUCAGAGCAUCGGUCAGGUUUUUUUUUUUUUGAGUUUGUACAGUACACUUUUGGCUUGGAGGGCCAAAGAUUCCAAGACCCUCUUCUCCUGAACCUGGAUGGCGAGCCCCAGCCCAGAGGACCAGGCGCACGGGUAGAUAGUGACCCGACUGGUCACCAGCUGAGAGACUUUGAGACUCAUUGGAGUCUCAUUUGAUUCAUUGGAGACUGAAGUAUUCAA